rnacentral:rRNA from 1 species
CGCCUCCCUCCCGCCGCCACUACACGACGUACCGUACCGGACGGGCGAGCAGGUGGGAAGUAUUGGACAAUGGGCGCAACGCCUGAUCCAGCAAUGCCGCGUGUGUGAAGAAGCUUCGGUUGUAAGCACUUUAUCAGGAGCGAAAUACUACCGGUUAAUAACCGGUGGGGCGUGACGGUACCUGAGGAAUAAGCACCGGCUAACUUCGUGCCAGCAGCCGCGGUAAUAC